AUACGGAGGGGGCUAGCGUUGUUCGGAAUUACUGGGCGUAAAGCGCACGUAGGCGGCGCACGCAGUCAGAGGUGAAAGGCCUGGGCUCAACCCAGGAACUGCCUUUGAUACUGGUGUGCUAGAGUCCGGGAGAGGGUAGCGGAAUUCCCAGUGUAGAGGUGAAAUUCGUAGAUAUUCGGAAGAACACCGGUUGCGAAGGCGGCUACCUGGACCGGUACUGACGCUGAGGUGCGAAAGCGUGGGGAGCAAACAGGAUUAGAUACCCCGGUAGUCC
rnacentral:rRNA from 1 species